rnacentral:miRNA from 1 species
CAACAAGUCACAGCUUCCUCA